rnacentral:rRNA from 1 species
UACAGAGGUCCCAAGCGUUGUUCGGAUUCACUGGGCUUAAAGCGUGUGUAGGCGGACUUGUAAGUACCUUGUGAAAUCCCACGGCUCACCCGUGGAACUGCUGGGUAUACUGCGAGUCUUGAGCCACUUAGGGGCUGUCGGAACAGGCGGUGGAGCGGUGAAAUGCGUAGAUAUCGCCUGGAACGCCAAAGGUGAAAACAGACAGCUGGGAGUGUGCUGACGCUGAGACACGAAAGCCAGGGGAGCGAACGGG